GCAUAAUAAAUAGUUUUUUAAUUGGGGACUGGAAUGAAGGGUAUAAACUAAAAAGAGAAGUUUUAUUUGAUGAUUUUGAAAUUAAAUUAAAAGUAAAAAUGCUUUUAUUAAAUUUUGGGACGAGAAGACCCUAGAAGCUUGAAAUUUUUAGUUUUUUGUUGGGGUAACAUUUGAAGGUAAAAAUUUUUGAAGUUUAAAAAGGAAAUUUUUAUGAAGUUACUCUAGGGAUAACAGCAUUAUUUAAUUAGCGAGUUCCUAUUAAUAAUUAAGUUUGUGACCUCGAUGUUGAAUUAAUU
rnacentral:rRNA from 1 species